rnacentral:rRNA from 1 species
UACGGAGGGUGCAAGCGUUGUCCGGAUUUAUUGGGUUUAAAGGGUGCGUAGGCGGCUAUUUAAGUCAGUGGUGAAAUCCUGCAGCUCAACUGUAGAACAGCCAUUGAUACUGAAUAGCUUGAGUACAGACGAGGUAGGCGGAAUUUAUGGUGUAGCGGUGAAAUGCAUAGAUACCAUAAAGAACCCCUAUUGCGAAGGCAGCUUACUAGGCUGUAACUGACGCUGAGGCACGAAAGCGUGGGGAUCAAACAGG